rnacentral:sRNA from 1 species
CAUGAAGACAGCCAUCAUCGUAGUUCUGGUGGGUUUCAUCACCAUGGGGAUGACCAUGGCCUCUGUUCUGUCUUCUCAAAAAACAUUCAAAAAACCUGGAGCAUGUCCCAGAGAGACUCCAGGAAGUGUUCAAAACAGAGUUUUACGAUGCUCAGGAGAUGAAUCAUGCCCCAAGGAAAAGAAGUGCUGCACCUUAAGACAUAUUCGAAUGUGUGUAGCUCCUAGUCCACAUCACUUUAAAAUGGCUGACAGCCCUGUGGAAGAUGGACCUGCUGUUUAUAAGCAUAAUUGAUGGAAAACACCAGAAGACUUCUCAAUCCACAGAGCCCAUACUUGACUACUGCCUAGCUCUCGAAUUGCAUCCUUAGAAGAGGAAGACAUAUAAUUAAAAAGACAGCUUCUAAUGUUGUUGUGGCCCCAAAUAAACUAUCCUUUAGAUUCUUUCUCUUGAA